rnacentral:sRNA from 1 species
CGCCGGAACACGCCGAGUCCUGCCGCCCGGCCGGUGGAGAAACAGCAGAUCAGCGCGGCAGGAGCGGGGAAACCACAGACUGCCGUACCGCGCGCUCCGCCCGGUCCGGCUAGGGGUGAAGCCAAUUCCCGAAUACGCCCCGAGCGUCAGGGGAAUUGGCCGGGCAACUCCAGCCCGAAUCCGACAGCUAACCUCGCAGGCGUCGGAGAGGACGC